rnacentral:rRNA from 1 species
UACAUAAGUAAGUAUCCUUACCUGAAUACAUAGGGUAAGGAGGCGAACCGGGGGAACUGAAACAUCUAAGUACCCCGAGGAAAAGAAAUCAACCGAGAUUCCGAAAGUAGCGGCGAGCGAAAUUGGACUAGCCCUUAAGCUUUACACGCGUUAGACGAACGGUCUGGAAAGUCCGACGAUACAGGGUGAUAGUCCCGUAGUUGACGACGUGUGUUCAGUGAAAUCGAGUAGGGCGGGACACGUGAUAUCCUGUCUGAAUAUGGGGGGACCAUCCUCCAAGGCUAAAUACUACUGACUGACCGAUAGUGAACCAGUACCGUGAGGGAAAGGCGAAAAGAACCCCUGUGAGGGGAGUGAAAUAGAACCUGAAACCGUGUACGUACAAGCAGUAGGAGCAGGCUUUGUCCUGUGACUGCGUACCUUUUGUAUAAUGGGUCAGCGACUUAUAUUCAGUGGCAAGGUUAACCAUCUAGGGGAGCCGUAGGGAAACCGAGUCUUAACUGGGCGUUCAGUCUCUGGAUAUAGACCCGAAACCAGGUGAUCUAGCCAUGGGCAGGUUGAAGGUUGAGUAACAUCAACUGGAGGACCGAACCGACUAAUGUUGAAAAAUUAGCGGAUGACUUGUGGCUAGGGGUGAAAGGCCAAUCAAACCUGGAGAUAGCUGGUUCUCCCCGAAAGCUAUUUAGGUAGCGCCUCGGACGAAUACUACUGGGGGUAGAGCACUGUUAAGGCUAGGGGGUCAUCCCGACUUACCAACCCUUUGCAAACUCCGAAUACCAGUAAGUACUAUCCGGGAGACACACGGCGGGUGCUAACGUCCGUCGUGGAGAGGGAAACAACCCAGACCGCCAGCUAAGGUCCCAAAUUACUACUAAGUGGGAAACGAUGUGGGAAGGCUCAGACAGCCAGGAUGUUGGCUUAGAAGCAGCCAUCAUUUAAAGAAAGCGUAAUAGCUCACUGGUCGAGUCGGCCUGCGCGGAAGAUGUAACGGGGCUAAGUA